GGAGGUAGUGAGGCAGCACCGAACAAACGACGAAAGGCAAUCCUGGUAAAGAGGCGCUGAAUGCUUUCAAUUCUCGAACAGCCAUCAAUAGUGGGAGGAUUCCAGAUGAUACUAGCAUAUUCAAGAAUAGGUGAUGUGUGAUUUCUUGUGCCCCGUACUUUGCUCGUUUACGUUUUGUGCCGUGUUCCUUCUUCUUCAAUUAUGAAAUGAUUUAUCCUUGUAAAUUUCUAAGUUACAGUGCACGCGCAUGUUAAUCGACGGUUGCCAACAUCCCGCAAAACGAUCGACGGAAGGAAAACGGUGUCCGGUUUUAAAAUAUAAAGAUUUCAUCACAGCUCUUUCGUAGAAGAGCGCACUUCAAGGACGCCUAGGAUACGGCUGAACAUGCGCAGCACCAGUCCGUGACAUCAUUUCC